rnacentral:rRNA from 1 species
UAAGCGACUAAGCGUACACGGUGGAUGCCCUGGCAGUCAGAGGCGAUGAAGGACGUGCUAAUCUGCGAUAAGCGUCGGUAAGGUGAUAUGAACCGUUAUAACCGGCGAUUUCCGAAUGGGGAAACCCAGUGUGUUUCGACACACUAUCAUUAACUGAAUCCAUAGGUUAAUGAGGCGAACCGGGGGAACUGAAACAUCUAAGUACCCCGAGGAAAAGAAAUCAACCGAGAUUCCCCCAGUAGCGGCGAGCGAACGGGGAGUAGCCCAGAGCCUGAAUCAGUGUGUGUGUUAGUGGAAGCGUCUGGAAAGGCGCGCGAUACAGGGUGACAGCCCCGUACACAAAAAUGCACAUGCUGUGAGCUCGAUGAGUAGGGCGGGACACGUGGUAUCCUGUCUGAAUAUGGGGGGACCAUCCUCCAAGGCUAAAUACUCCUGACUGACCGAUAGUGAACCAGUACCGUGAGGGAAAGGCGAAAAGAACCCCGGCGAGGGGAGUGAAAAAGAACCUGAAACCGUGUACGUACAAGCAGUGGGAGCACGCUUAGGCGUGUGACUGCGUACCUUUUGUAUAAUGGGUCAGCGACUUAUAUUCUGUAGCAAGGUUAACCGAAUAGGGGAGCCGAAGGGAAACCGAGUCUUAACUGGGCGUUAAGUUGCAGGGUAUAGACCCGAAACCCGGUGAUCUAGCCAUGGGCAGGUUGAAGGUUGGGUAACACUAACUGGAGGACCGAACCGACUAAUGUUGAAAAAUUAGCGGAUGACUUGUGGCUGGGGGUGAAAGGCCAAUCAAACCGGGAGAUAGCUGGUUCUCCCCGAAAGCUAUUUAGGUAGCGCCUCGUGAAUUCAUCUCCGGGGGUAGAGCACUGUUUCGGCAAGGGGGUCAUCCCGACUUACCAACCCGAUGCAAACUGCGAAUACCGGAGAAUGUUAUCACGGGAGACACACGGCGGGUGCUAACGUCCGUCGUGAAGAGGGAAACAACCCAGACCGCCAGCUAAGGUCCCAAAGUCAUGGUUAAGUGGGAAACGAUGUGGGAAGGCCCAGACAGCCAGGAUGUUGGCUUAGAAGCAGCCAUCAUUUAAAGAAAGCGUAAUAGCUCACUGGUCGAGUCGGCCUGCGCGGAAGAUGUAACGGGGCUAAACCAUGCACCGAAGCUGCGGCAGCGACGCUGAUGCGUUGUUGGGUAGGGGAGCGUUCUGUAAGCCUGCGAAGGUGUGCUGUGAGGCAUGCUGGAGGUAUCAGAAGUGCGAAUGCUGACAUAAGUAACGAUAAAGCGGGUGAAAAGCCCGCUCGCCGGAAGACCAAGGGUUCCUGUCCAACGUUAAUCGGGGCAGGGUGAGUCGACCCCUAAGGCGAGGCCGAAAGGCGUAGUCGAUGGGAAACAGGUUAAUAUUCCUGUACUUGGUGUUACUGCGAAGGGGGGACGGAGAAGGCUAUGUUGGCCGGGCGACGGUUGUCCCGGUUUAAGCGUGUAGGCUGGUUUUCCAGGCAAAUCCGGAAAAUCAAGGCUGAGGCGUGAUGACGAGGCACUACGGUGCUGAAGCAACAAAUGCCCUGCUUCCAGGAAAAGCCUCUAAGCAUCAGGUAACAUCAAAUCGUACCCCAAACCGACACAGGUGGUCAGGUAGAGAAUACCAAGGCGCUUGAGAGAACUCGGGUGAAGGAACUAGGCAAAAUGGUGCCGUAACUUCGGGAGAAGGCACGCUGAUAUGUAGGUGAAGCGACUUGCUCGUGGAGCUGAAAUCAGUCGAAGAUACCAGCUGGCUGCAACUGUUUAUUAAAAACACAGCACUGUGCAAACACGAAAGUGGACGUAUACGGUGUGACGCCUGCCCGGUGCCGGAAGGUUAAUUGAUGGGGUUAGCGCAAGCGAAGCUCUUGAUCGAAGCCCCGGUAAACGGCGGCCGUAACUAUAACGGUCCUAAGGUAGCGAAAUUCCUUGUCGGGUAAGUUCCGACCUGCACGAAUGGCGUAAUGAUGGCCAGGCUGUCUCCACCCGAGACUCAGUGAAAUUGAACUCGCUGUGAAGAUGCAGUGUACCCGCGGCAAGACGGAAAGACCCCGUGAACCUUUACUAUAGCUUGACACUGAACAUUGAGCCUUGAUGUGUAGGAUAGGUGGGAGGCUUAGAAGUGUGGACGCCAGUCUGCAUGGAGCCGACCUUGAAAUACCACCCUUUAAUGUUUGAUGUUCUAACGUUGACCCGUAAUCCGGGUUGCGGACAGUGUCUGGUGGGUAGUUUGACUGGGGCGGUCUCCUCCUAAAGAGUAACGGAGGAGCACGAAGGUUGGCUAAUCCUGGUCGGACAUCAGGAGGUUAGUGCAAUGGCAUAAGCCAGCUUGACUGCGAGCGUGACGGCGCGAGCAGGUGCGAAAGCAGGUCAUAGUGAUCCGGUGGUUCUGAAUGGAAGGGCCAUCGCUCAACGGAUAAAAGGUACUCCGGGGAUAACAGGCUGAUACCGCCCAAGAGUUCAUAUCGACGGCGGUGUUUGGCACCUCGAUGUCGGCUCAUCACAUCCUGGGGCUGAAGUAGGUCCCAAGGGUAUGGCUGUUCGCCAUUUAAAGUGGUACGCGAGCUGGGUUUAGAACGUCGUGAGACAGUUCGGUCCCUAUCUGCCGUGGGCGCUGGAGAACUGAGGGGGGCUGCUCCUAGUACGAGAGGACCGGAGUGGACGCAUCACUGGUGUUCGGGUUGUCAUGCCAAUGGCACUGCCCGGUAGCUAAAUGCGGAAGAGAUAAGUGCUGAAAGCAUCUAAGCACGAAACUUGCCCCGAGAUGAGUUCUCCCUGACUCCUUGAGAGUCCUGAAGGAACGUUGAAGACGACGACGUUGAUAGGCCGGGUGUGUAAGCGCAGCGAUGCGUUGAGCUAACCGGUACUAAUGAACCGUGAGGCUUAACCU